UACGUAGGGUGCGAGCGUUAAUCGGAAUUACUGGGCGUAAAGCGUGCGCAGGCGGUGAUGUAAGACAGAUGUGAAAUCCCCGGGCUCAACCUGGGAACUGCGUUUGUGACUGCAUCACUCGAGUACGGCAGAGGGAGGUGGAAUUCCGCGUGUAGCAGUGAAAUGCGUAGAUAUGCGGAGGAACACCGAUGGCGAAGGCAGCCUCCUGGGCCAGUACUGACGCUCAUGCACGAAAGCGUGGGGAGCAAACAGG
rnacentral:ncRNA from 2 species